rnacentral:lncRNA from 1 species
UGCUGCAUUUCCCACCGCUGGGCUCUUCCAACAAUACAAUCCUCUUACACUCCAAAGGCCGUUUACAGUAUGUUCUAAUGAAAUGGACUUGCAGGCUGACCCUGCUUUGUGGAAGUGCACCAUACAGAAGUGCCCAUUUUUCCAUCUUCGGAAGCAAUGAAUGAGCGCUGGACAAAAGUUCCUGGCAGAACAGUACCCCCUCUGGGUUCUGCUGAGGAAGCCCUCAGGCCAGGCAGGUGGGAGGGGUUGCAGAGCAGAGGAACGCUGGCGGGCUGUGCUUCCAGCCGGAAGCCAUCCUGGGUGUGUAGAUCACAGGCUUUGUCCUGAUUCCGUUCACUCCGACCUCUACUUUGGAGCUGCCCAGGGGAUCCAGGGAUGAACAAAGCUUAGGGUAGCCAGCAGAAUGAGGUUGGUGACUGGGGCCCCCACAGCAGCCACCAAAAGAAGCUGUCUGUCAACACUUUGGGGCACAAAAUGUUCACCCUUCAGCAUUGCCUACGCCUCCAGAGUCCCCACAGCAGGUCUCAGGUGCUGGACUGGAUGGCACACGCACCAUAUAUGAGCUUGAGUAUGGCUGUGCUUUGCCCUCUACCAGAAUUUGUUUUAGAGCUGGGCCUCCCUAGUUCAUGGGGACUAUGACAGCGCUAUCUUCCCUCCCCUGAGCAGUCUCUUGAAGGAGAUGCUAUGGCAAACCAAGGGUGGCUAACUUCACUUUUGGCUAGGCACCAGACUAUGUAACCCUGAAGAGGUCCAGAAGUGAUGCUACCCCACCCCGUGAGUCUGCCCCUCCCCUAGCCCUUUCCAUGUGUCUCGGGAUGUGGAUGGAAUGAGCAGUAGCUCGGUCAGCAAAAUGCUUGCCACGCCAACACAACACCCUAAAUUUAAUCUGCAGAACCCGCAUUAAAAACAAAACAAAACAAAACAAACCUGAGCAAGGUGUGAUCCCAGGGAUGGCCAGGCAGAAACAGAUCCCUAAGACUCCCUGGCUCCAGGAGCUCCAGGCCACUGAGAGGCUUUCUUUUAAAAACAGGGUGUGGUUGGCAAGAUGGCUCCGUGAAGAAAGGUACCUGCUGCCAAGCUGGCGGCUCCCUUAGUUCAAUCCUUAUGACCCGCAUGGUAGUAAGAGGGAACCGUUCAUCUAGUGUGGUCUCUGACCUCCACACAUGUGUGCUCGGCCCUUCUCCCAUCCAAGCAAACGAAAUAAAAAACUUAAAGAAGGCCAAUUGCAGUUAAAUUAAACUAAAACUAAAUUAAAAUUUAAAGAACAAGUAAAGGUGGACCGCAUUAGUGAAAGAAAACCCUAGGUUAACCUGGGCCUCCAUAUGCACACAUACAUACACCACCACUACACACACACACACACACACACACACACACACAGAGCAUAAAACCCCCACAGGCCUGUAGUCUUCUAUCUCAGGCCUGUUUUGGCCCCUGUUACCAUAGUAAUGUCGUCAUUUGUAUCAUGUUUUCCCUUUAGCCAACUUCAAAGCCCAUGUCUCAGGUUCAUUUUAGAUUAAUACUGAAGAAGAAAAAACCCACAGUAAUGUUCAUCUCAAAUGUAGGAUAACAGGCCCAGGGCAUGCUCCACUGGAGUCCCUGCUGUGGACCUUAUGCAGGAACCUGAAAGACCUGGAAGGGCUGAGCGAUGGGCAAACUUAUGACUAAGCCAGGCUGUCCAACCAAGGCAUGGCUUCCCUAGUGAUCAAGGUCGAUGGUGUGUCUAUGAACACGCUCUCUCAGUUUUGCUUAAGCAUCUUCAUCUCUCAUUCUCCCUAAACCAUGGGGAAAGUCCCACUCUACCUUGGAACUUUCAUUCUC